rnacentral:rRNA from 1 species
CCUACGGGAGGCAGCAGUGAGGAAUAUUGGUCAAUGGACGAGAGUCUGAACCAGCCAAGUAGCGUGAAGGAUGACUGCCCUAUGGGUUGUAAACUUCUUUUAUAAAGGAAUAAAACGAGGCACGUGUGCCUUUUUGCAUGUACUUUAUGAAUAAGGAUCGGCUAACUCCGUGCCAGCAGCCGCGGUAAUACGGAGGAUCCGAGUGUUAUCCGGAUUUCUUGGGUUUAAAGGGCGCGUAGAUGGGUUGUUAAGUCAGUUGUGAAAGUUUGCGGCUCAACCGUAAAAUUGCAAUUGAUACUGGCAGUCUUGAGUACAGUUGAGGUAGGCGGAAUUCGUUGUGUAGCAGUGAAAUGCUUAGAUAUCACGAAGAACCCCGAUUGCGAAGGCAGCUUACUAAACUGUGACUGACAUUGAUGCUCGAAAGUGUGGGUAUCAAACAGGAUUAGAUACCCUUGUAGUC